UACGGAGGGUGCAAGCGUUGUUCGGAUUUACUGGGCGUAAAGCGCGCGCAGGUGGGUGAACAAGUCGGAAGUGAAAUCUUGAGGCUCAACCUCGAGGCUGCUCCCGAAACUGUUCGUCUAGGGACUGGUAGAGGCUGGUAGAAUUCCCGGUGUAGCGGUGGAAUGCGUAGAGAUCGGGAAGAAUACCCGUGGCGAAGGCGGCCAGCUGGGCCAGAUCCGACACUGAGGCGCGAAAGCGUGGGGAGCAAACAGG
rnacentral:rRNA from 1 species